rnacentral:lncRNA from 1 species
UUUUCCCUUUCUUCCAUUUAUUUUCCUUCUCAAAUCACUGAUGUAAUCAUUAGGUUCUUAGAAUUCUUCAUGUUAAACUUUAAUUUUCAAGUAAAUGUUCAAAACCCUGGCUUAAUAAGGUGGGUACAGAAAUGACAGUUGCUUUUUUGGGAAAGACAACACAUGUCAUUGUGACAGUGUGAGGAGAGAGGCCUGGGGAGGGGUGAGGAAUAUUGAGAAAGAGUGGCUCAGAGGCAGUCAGAAAUGACUCUUCAUGGAGAGAAUGGAAGCGUCCCAGAAUUGCCCAAAAUGAGUAUAAGAACUAAGAGGAAAACAAACUGAGAUCUCAUUUUUCUAAUGGAAUGGUGGUGUUCUGCUGUUGGAGCUGAAAAGACAGAAUAGGAAAUAUUGCAAGUUGAUAGAGUCAUGGAGUGAAAUAGUAUUCCAUGCCUUCAUGGAAUCAAGGAAACGGAGAAAAGAGCCUUCUCAAAAGGUUUAUUCAACUGUAUUUUUACCAAAAAGAAGUAGCCUCAGACAGCUUCUUCAUGGGUACUCCUCAAGAUGUCUCCAUGGAUAAUAUGAAGCCAAGAAGCAGAAGACUUGUUGCUUUCUGGAGAGGGAGAAGAACACCAAGGUCAGCAGUCCAGACAAGGUCUUCAGGGGAACCAGCAGUGGCCUCUUUUCUUCAGUGAGCAGAGGAACCUCUGAAGGACCGGUCAUCUGAGCAGAAAGGCUACAGAACUGCAAGCAGCAGAGGAGGUUCUUUGUGAGGGUCACAUUUCUCCCCAUGCCCAAGGACUCUCGGUGAGUAGAAUUAGGGAGAAAGACAAUAUUUCCUAUUAGUCAAGAGUAUAAAAUCUUGGACCAUUG